UAAUGCCUGAGGGACGAGAGGGUGAGAGACCAGCCAGGUUCACUAAUGCCUGAGGGACGAGAGAGACCAGCCAGGUUCACUAAUGCCUGAGGGACGAGAGAGACCAGCCAGGUUCACUAAUGCCUGAGGGACGAGAGGGUGAGAGACCAGCCAGGUUCACUAAUGCCUGAGGGACAAGAGGGUGAGAGACCAGCCAGGUUCACUAAUGCCUGAGGGACGAGAGAGACCAGCCAGGUUCACUAAUGCCUGAGGGACGAGAGAGACCAGCCAGGUUCACUAAUGCCUGAGGGACGAGAGAGACCAGCCAGGUUCACUAAUGCCUGAGGGACAAGAGGGUGAGAGACCAGCCAGGUUCACUAAUGCCUGAGGGACAAGAGGGUGAGAGACCAGCCAGGUUCACUAAUGCCUGAGGGACAAGAGGGUGAGAGACCAGCCAGGUUCACUAAUGCCUGAGGGACAAGAGGGUGAGAGACCAGCCAGGUUCACUAAUGCCUGAGGGACGAGAGAGACCAGCCAGGUUCACUAAUGCCUGAGGGACAAGAGGGUGAGAGACCAGCCAGGUUCACUAAUGCCUGAGGGACGAGAGGGUGAGAGACCAGCCAGGUUCACUAAUGCCUGAGGGACGGGAGGGUGAGAGACCAGCCAGGUUCACUAAUGCCUGAGGGACGAGAGAGACCAGCCAGGUUCACUAAUGCCUGAGGGACAAGAGGGUGAGAGACCAGCCAGGUUCACUAAUGCCUGAGGGACGAGAGAGACCAGCCAGGUUCACUAAUGCCUGAGGGACGAGAGGGUGAGAGACCAGCCAGGUUCACUAAUGCCUGAGGGACGAGAGAGACCAGCCAGGUUCACUAAUGCCUGAGGGACAAGAGGGUGAGAGACCAGCCAGGUUCACUAAUGCCUGAGGGACGGGAGGGUGAGAGACCAGCCAGGUUCACUAAUGCCUGAGGGACGAGAGAGACCAGCCAGGUUCACUAAUGCCUGAGGGACAAGAGGGUGAGAGACCAGCCAGGUUCACUAAUGCCUGAGGGACGAGAGAGACCAGCCAGGUUCACUAAUGCCUGAGGGACAAGAGGGUGAGAGACCAGCCAGGUUCACUAAUGCCUG